CUCAAACUAUGAGUUAUGUAAUAUUUUGAUUUUCAAACUUAAGUUAUUAUAAUUUUUGUCUCGAACUUUCAGAAUUAUGCAAUUAAGUCACACAAUUAGGAUGUUACAUCACUUUUACAUUAAAGAUACAUCAAUAUGUUUAAUCAAUUAAAUUGUGUUAUGAUCACUACGGUGUAUAGCGACACUUCUAAAUGUUGGUACAGGUCAAAAAAAGUGCUGCUGGCUAAAUUACCGACACUUUAAAAAAAUGUUGCUAUAUGUGGAAUCGCUAGGUAUAUAGUGACAGUUUAAGAGUGUCGGUAUAACCUAAAAAGAAUGCUGCUAAUUUACCAAUACUUAUUUAAGCAUUUAGCAACUGCCAGAACUCUACCUUGUUGGCUGCGGUGGCAGAGGAGAAGGAGAAUGAAGGGCUCUUCAUCUAGAGUUUCAGUGGAUUGAAUGAGGGGAGAAGGGGAGAUAGUGAUCGAUUUUUCUUUUUUUUUUCUUUUCUGUUUGUAAUCAGGCUGAAUGGGCCGGAUGCGGUGGGUUGAGUAGAAUAACAUUAUAUUUUUUAUUAGAUUGGGUUUUAUAUUUAAACUUUAGUAGAUUUUUUU
rnacentral:lncRNA from 1 species